GUGCUCGCUUUGAUAGCACAUAUACUAAAAUUGGUACAAUACAGAGAAGAUUAGCAUGGCCCCUGCACAAGGAUGUCACACAAAUUCAUGAAGUGUUCCAUAAUUUU
rnacentral:snRNA from 1 species